rnacentral:rRNA from 1 species
UACAGAGGCUACGAGCGUUAGGCGGAAUCACUGGGCUUAAAGCGUGUGUAGGUGGAUGACUAAGUACCUUGUGAAAUCCCACGGCUCAACCGUGGAACUGCUUGGUAUACUGGUUGUCUUGAGGCACUCAGGGGCGAGCGGAACAGAUGGUGGAGCGGUGAAAUGCGUAGAUAUCAUCUGGAACGCCAAUGGUGAAGACAGCUCGCUGGGGGUGUACUGACACUGAGACACGAAAGCCAGGGGAGCAAACGGG